AUUGAACGCUGGCGGCAGGCCUAACACAUGCAAGUCGAGCGGUAACAUUUCUAGCUUGCUAGAAGAUGACGAGCGGCGGACGGGUGAGUAAUGCUUGGGAAUAUGCCUUAGGGUGGGGGACAACAGUUGGAAACGACUGCUAAUACCGCAUAACGUCUACGGACCAAAGGGGGCUUCGGCUCUCGCCCUUAGAUUAGCCCAAGUGGGAUUAGCUAGUUGGUGAGGUAAUGGCUCACCAAGGCGACGAUCCCUAGCUGGUUUGAGAGGAUGAUCAGCCACACUGGAACUGAGACACGGUCCAGACUCCUACGGGAGGCAGCAGUGGGGAAUAUUGCACAAUGGGCGCAAGCCUGAUGCAGCCAUGCCGCGUGUGUGAAGAAGGCCUUAGGGUUGUAAAGCACUUUCAGUAAGGAGGAAAGGUUAGUAGUUAAUACCUGCUAGCUGUGACGUUACUUACAGAAGAAGCACCGGCUAACUCCG
rnacentral:rRNA from 1 species